GUGCCCGUAGCUCAGCUGGAUAGAGCGUUGCCCUCCGGAGGCAAAGGUCGGACGUUCGAAUCGUCUCGGGCGCGCCA
rnacentral:tRNA from 1 species